rnacentral:rRNA from 1 species
ACGGGAGGCAGCAGUGGGGAAUUUUGCGCAAUGGGGGCAACCCUGACGCAGCAACGCCGCGUGCGGGAUGACGGCCUUCGGGUUGUAAACCGCUUUCAGUGGGAAAGAUUAUGACGGUACCCACAGAAGAAGCUCCGGCUAACUACGUGCCAGCAGCCGCGGUAAUACGUAGGGAGCAAGCGUUAUCCGGAUUCAUUGGGCGUAAAGCGCGCGUAGGCGGCUUGUUAAGCAAGAUUUUAAAUCUGGGGGCUCAACCUUCAGCCGGAUCUUGAACUGGCAGGCUCGAGUUUGGUAGAGGAAAGUGGAAUUCCCAGUGUAGCGGUGAAAUGCGCAGAUAUUAGGAGGAACACCGGCGGCGAAGGCGGCUUGCUGGACAGAUACUGACGCUGAGGCGCGAAAGCGUGGGGAGCAAACAGGAUUAGAUACCCUGGUA